GAUAAAGCUAUGAAGGGAAAUAGUAGAUAAAUUAAUCACUUAAGAGAGCCGAUGGUUGGUGGAAAUCGGUGUGAUUGUUUAUCGAAUCCAUCCCAGAGCAGUUUACUGAAAAGGUAAAACCUUAGCACGGGUUAAGUGUAAAGAGUGAGCCAUUUUUGGCUAACUAGGGUGGCAACACGGGAGAAACUCUCGUCCCUAAU
rnacentral:ncRNA from 1 species